UACAGAGGGUGCGAGCGUUAAUCGGAAUUACUGGGCGUAAAGCGUGCGCAGGCGGUUAUUUAAGUCAGGUGUGAAAGCCCUGGGCUUAACCUAGGAAUUGCGCUUGAGACUGGAUAGCUUGGAGUGCGGCAGAGGGAGGUGGAAUUCCACGUGUAGCAGUGAAAUGCGUAGAGAUGUGGAGGAACACCGAUGGCGAAGGGCAGCCUCCUGGGCCAGCACUGACGCUCAUGCACGAAAGCGUGGGGAGCAAACAGG
rnacentral:rRNA from 1 species